rnacentral:rRNA from 1 species
UGAACCUGCGGAAGGAUCAUUACUGAGUGAGGGCCCUCUGGGUCCAACCUCCCACCCGUGUUUAUUGUACCUUGUUGCUUCGGCGGGCCCGCCUUUACGGCCGCCGGGGGGCUCACGCUCCCGGGCCCGCGCCCGCCGAAGACACCCUCGAACUCUGUCUGAAGAUUGUAGUCUGAGUGGAAUUAUAAAUUAUUUAAAACUUUCAACAACGGAUCUCUUGGUUCCGGCAUCGAUGAAGAACGCAGCGAAAUGCGAUACGUAAUGUGAAUUGCAGAAUUCAGUGAAUCAUCGAGUCUUUGAACGCACAUUGCGCCCCCUGGUAUUCCGGGGGGCAUGCCUGUCCGAGCGUCAUUGCUGCCCUCAAGCACGGCUUGUGUGUUGGGCCCCGUCCCCCAAUCCCGGGGGACGGGCCCGAAAGGCAGCGGCGGCACCGCGUCCGGUCCUCGAGCGUAUGGGGCUUUGUCACCCGCUCUGUAGGCCCGGCCGGCGCUUGCCGAUCAACCAAACUUUUAUCCAGGUUGACCUCGGAUCAGGUAGGGAUACCCGCUGAACUUAAGCAUAUCAAUA